CAAAGCGAGGUUUGUUCCGUAAAGCGUCAGAGAGCCAGAUUUCAUUCGAGCGUCUAACGUCCUGUUUGACUCAUAUCGAUACAGAACCAGCUGAUCGAGCAGCUUCUCACUGGAACUCUUCGGAGGCUUCAGUGGAAACGAUGUUCAAUCUCAUGUUUGCUGAAGUGCCUUGUGGUUAAGGGUUAGAGUCAAUUACAUGUAGACUUCGCCCACGUAGGUGACGACGACAGGACGUACACAUGUCGAUGAAAUUCUUUAGUCCCUAAAUUACAACGUGAAUUCAAAACCACGUCAGAGGAAACUAUGGAACCAACACGUGAAGCCGGGUUCGGAUCCUCAGGUGUGAAAACCUCCUCGGUGACUUUCAGUGUAAAACAACCAGGCUAAUUUAAGAGAUGUGGUUUUGUUCUGUAAUCACUUAUAAUGAACCCGCUCUUAAUCUCCUCAGUGUCUUCCUGAGACAUCAUUUGAUUCCUGAAUAAGCACCUGGAGACACAAGGUUCCUUCUCACUGUGAUGAAUCAGGGUUUUGAAGAAGCUCUCGUUUUGAACAUUCAGUCACCGACAGCUGAGGCAGGAUCUGGUCUCAGAUCAGCUGGGUGACAACAUGUGCUCACAUCAUCAGAUUGCACAACAAGCUAAAGACCACUUGUGUGAAUUAUCGGCCGUCAUCUGUUCCUCAAACCUAAAUUUAGAGAAGGGGUUUCGCUGACAGCGGCAAAACACCUGAUGCCAGGAACAGGCCACACAGUCAUUUUGAGUUUGAAGUUGGUCACUGCGUCAGAUUUGGUGGACCAAUCAGGGCUUGUGAUUCAGGAGAUCAGAGAGACAACAACAACACGUCAGCCUCAUGUCCUUUUCACUGUUUACAGCUUGUGAAUAAUCACUGUGCUGAAUAUCCUGAAACAACCGUGUGUGUGUCACAAGGCAUCACGAGUUCUGUCUCUCACUGACCAGUUCUUUUGGCCUAACAUGAUCUUUUCUUAUUGGUGAAGUGAGGAAAUCCUCCUGGGUUGGAUGGGUCCAAUGUUUUCUUUUUUCAAGAGGUGACAACACAAUCAUCCUCACUGCUCCACUUCAUUUUAUCUCCUACCGCAACAAAUUGAUGAACAAACCCAUCAGACUCGGUGUGUGAGGAUAUUUAUUGGAUGAUAGAAAACACAGACCUUUCGUGUCAUCUACCAGAAGCUGUGUGGGUUUUGUUUGCUUCAGUUCUUCUGCAUGAGGAACAAGACCUAUUCACCUGUUUGUGUGCUGCACUGGUUGAACUGGUAUCUGCUGGAAGCUGCACCUGGGCUGUGCUGCAGCCGUGCUCGGACACACCCCUCUGUGCCAGUGCUGGACGACCAUCUCAAACACAAACCACACCAAGGGCAAUUUGGCAGAGGAGCAACCUGAGUGCAAAGGCUGUAGAUAGGAGAGCAGUGGCGUGGUGAUCUCUGUGCUGACUUACAAUCGUCUGAGUGCACACCCAGAGCCAGGGAGCAGCCGAGAGCUAAAGGUCGGGAGACGACGUGCUGAGGUGCAGCUUGUUCUGACGCCGCCUCACAUUCCUGAAAUCCUCCACGGCCUCUGUUGAGAAGCUGCCACACGUCUGCAGACUCAUUCUUCUGGAUGACACUGGACUGGUCAUACUGGGCGAGGGAAUGGUUACUCACUGCUUUUCAGUUCUUGAGGACAUUGUGUCCAAGAUGAAAAGAUGUUUUAUCCACUGAUGAAACCAUGACACACCCACAAGGCUCUGGUUGAGUCGAAAGACGCUGUGCUUUUAUUUUGACGGUUGCUGGGUGUCACUAGAGAUGACUCUCCAGUGACUGUGAAACUUCUUUCUAUCUAAACAUAUGUAACUUCCGCCACCUGGAGUUUCUUGAGCAUUUUGAUAUCUUUGAACAGCUUGGAUUUGAUCCAAGAACAUUUUCCCAUUGAACCGGUUGUUAAUUAUUGAUUAAUUAUUAGCCAGACUCUUUUAAUGUUUAAUUUUCAGUUCAAUCCACGCUCAUUCUCUCUCUCUUUCCUUCUUUAUCAAAAUUGGACUACUGUUUUUUUCUUUCUUAAGCUGGAUAUAUAUAUUUAGAUAUAAAAAUAAAAAUGUUGACAUUCUAUUUUACACCAUUUUAUGCAAAUUUUUUUUUUAAUUCUUGAGUAUUGUUAGAAGACAGCCUGUGACUCAAGCAUUUCAUUGCCAGCGACUGCCUAAUUGUUUUCUCUGUGCAUUUGAUAAUAAAAGUUUUGAAUAUAGAA